AUGGCGCCGGUUGGUCUCCCCCCAGGCUUUAGGUUUCAUCCAACUGAUGAGGAGCUUGUGAACUAUUACCUCAAGAGGAAGGUCCAUGGCCAGAGCAUCGAACUCGACAUCAUCCCAGAGGUAGACCUCUACAAGUGUGAGCCUUGGGAGCUAGCAGAGAAAUCGUUCCUGCCCAGUAGAGACCCUGAGUGGUACUUCUUUGGGCCAAGGGAUAGGAAGUAUCCAAAUGGAUGCCGGACGAACCGAGCAACUCGGGCAGGAUACUGGAAAUCAACCGGUAAAGAUCGAUCCAUCAACUACCAGAAGAGGUCAAUCGGUAUGAAGAAGACAUUAGUCUUCUACCAAGGCCGAGCUCCUCAGGGGAUCAGGAGCAACUGGGUCAUGCAUGAGUACCGCAUCGAGGAAAGCGAAUGCAACAACACCAUGGGGGUUCAGGACUCCUAUGCGCUAUGUCGGGUUUUCAAGAAAAAUGUGCCGGCUGGUGAAUUUGAAAAACAAGGGGAAUGCAGCUCAUCACAGGCUAAAGGAAAUCAAGAACAGGUUACAGAAUUCGAGGAUGCUGGAGAGUCCUCAACUGCAAACGAGAAUGACAAAGACAAUUCUUGGAUGCAGUUCAUAGUGGAAGACCUGUGGUGCAGCAACAAAACCAAGUAA
rnacentral:rRNA from 1 species